CGGUUGAUCCCGCCGGACCUGACUGCUAUCGGAUUGGUACUAAGCCAUGCGAGUCAUUGUAGCAAUACAAGGCGGACGGCUCAGUAACACGUAGUCAACCUAACCUAUGGACGUGGAUAACCUCGGGAAACUGAGAAUAAACCACGAUAGAUCAUGAUGCCUGGAAUGGCUUAUGGUUCAAACAAUUUAUUGCCAUAGGAUGGGACUGCGGCCUAUCAGCUUGUUGGUGAGGUAAUGGCCCACCAAGGCUAUAACAGGUACGGGCUCUGAGAGGAGAAGCCCGGAGAUGGGUACUGAGACACGGACCCAGGCCCUAUGGGGCGCAGCAGGCGAGAAACCUUAGCAAUGUGCGAAAGCACGACUGGGUCAGUCCGAGUGAUUCCUGAUAAAGGAGUCUUUUGCCUGUCCUAAAAGCACAGGUGAAUAAGGGGUGGGCAAGUCUGGUGUCAGCCGCCGCGGUAAUACCAGCACCUCGAGUGGUCAGGACGUUUAUUGGGCCUAAAGCAUCCGUAGCCGGCUCUGCAAGUCUUCGGUUAAAUCCACCUGCUCAACAGAUGGGCCGCUGGAGAUACUACAGAGCUAGGGAGUGGGAGAGGCAGACGGUAUUCAGUGGGUAGGGGGUAAAAUCCUCUGAUCCAUUGAGGACCACCAGUGGCGAAAGCGGUCUGCCAGAACACGUUCGACGGUGAGGGGUGAAAGCUGGGGGAGCAAACCGGAUUAGAUACCCGGGUAGUCCCAGCUGUAAACGAUGCAAACUCGGUGAUGCAUUGGCUUAUGGCCAAUGCAGUGCCGCAGGGAAGCCGUUUAAGUUUGCCGCCUGGGAAGUACGGACGCAAGUCUGAAACUUAAAGGAAUUGGCGGGGGAGCA
rnacentral:rRNA from 1 species